UAGUGGUUAGUAUAUCAAAUACAUUAGAUUUCGACUCUAAAAAUACUCAUCCGUACCACUAA
rnacentral:tRNA from 1 species